rnacentral:rRNA from 1 species
CCUACGGGUGGCAGCAGUGGGGAAUAUUGCGCAAUGGGGGCAACCCUGAUGCAGCAACGCCGCGUGAUUGAAGAAGGAUUUCGGGAUGUAAAGCUCUAUAAUCGGGGACGAAAUUAGACGGUACCUGAAGAAUAAGCUCCGGCUAACUACGUGCCAGCAGCCGCGGUAAUACGUAGGGGGCAAGCGUUAUCCGGAUUUACUGGGUGUAAAGGGCGCGUAGGCGGGAAGGCAAGGCAGAAGUGAAAUCCGAGGGCUUAACCCCCGAACUGCUUUUGAAACUGUGUGACUAGAGUGAUGGAGAGGCAAGCGGAAUUCCCAGUGUAGCGGUGAAAUGCGUAGAUAUUAGGAGGAACACCAGUGGCGAAGGCGUCCUACUGGACAGUAACUGACGCUGAGGCGCGAAAGCGUGGGGAGCAAACAGGAUUAGAUACCCUUGUAGUC